rnacentral:rRNA from 1 species
AGUUCGAUCAUGGCUCAGAUUGAACGCUGGCGUGGAUGCUUACACAUGCAAAGUCGAACGCGUUAACGACUUCGGUCUGCGGCGAGCGGCGAACGGGGUGAGCAAUGCAUCGGAACGUGCCCAGCAGCGGGGAUAACUACGCAUGGUGGCGUUAAUAGCCGCAUACCACCCUUCUGGGAAAGCGGACUCGGACCGCACCGUUAGAGCGGCUGAUAUCGGAUUAGCUAGUUGGUAGUAACGGCUCACAAGGCGGCGAUCCGUAGCUGGUUUGAGAGGACGACCAGCCACACUGGGACCGAGACACGGCCCAGACUUACGAGGUAUAGUGGGCAAUUCUUGAUAAUGGGGAACCUGAUCCAGCCAUCCCGCGUGUGCGAUGGAAGGCCUUCGGGUUGAAGCACUUUGGCAUGGAAAGAAACGGCACGCAGGAUAAUACCCCGCAACUGACGGUACCUGCAGAAUAGCACCGUUAACCACGUGCCAGCAGCCGCGGGCAAUACGUAGGGUGGCAGACCGAAUACUGGGCGCAAAGCGUGCGCGCAGGCGGUUCGGAAAAAACAGCGAUGUGAAACUUCUGUGAGCGUGAUCUGGAACUACAUUUUAAUCACCGAGCUAUAUGUGUCAGAGUGAGGUGAAUUUCGGCGUGCAGCAGUGAAAUGCGUAGAUAUGCGGAUGGAACACCGAUGGCGAAGGCAGCUCUCCUGAUAACACUGAUGCUCAUGCACGAAAGCGCGGGGAUAAAACAGGGAUUUAGGAUACUCUGGUAGUCCACGCCCUAAACGAUGUCAACUAGUUGUUGGGGCCCUCGGGCCUUGGUAGCAGCCAACGCGUGAAGUUGACCGCCUGGGGAGUACGUCGCAAGAUUAAAACUCAAAGGAAUUGACGGGACCCGCACAAGCGGUGGAUGAUGUGGAUUAUCUGAUGCAACGCAAAACCUUACCUAAAAUUUUGAUGUUCGAAUCCCGAAGAGAUUUGCAGGCCAUGCAGAGAACCGGAACACAGGUGCUGCAUGGCUGUUGCCAGCCCGUGUCGUGAGAUGUUAAGUCGCACGAGCGCAACCCUUGUCAUUAGUUGCUACUGCAAAAGGGUAAUUUAAUGAGAUCGCCGGUGACAACCGAGGAAGGUGGGGAUGACGUCGUCCUCAUGGCCCUGCGGGCAGGGCUUCACACGUCAUACAAUGGUCGGGACAGAGGGUCGCCAACCUCAUGAGUGGGAGCCAAUCCCAGAAACCCGAUCGUAGUCCGGAUCGCAGCGCUCCAACGCCGACUGCGUGAAGUCGGAAUCGCUAGCACCGUGGAUCAGCAUGUCGCGGUGAAUACGUUCCCCGGUCUUGCAAUACACACCGCCCGUCACACCAUGUGAGUGUGGUUGCGUACCAUAGUUGUUAGCUUCAACUGUGGCAGAGUGCAUGAUGCCACUUGAUCUUGCGAUCAGUGUAGUCGUAACAAGG